AUCUUUCAUCUGGAACAAGCCGGCUGAGCAAGGUGGAUCUUCUCGUAUUGUCUUCAGGACAGGCGAGUGCAAUGCAUUUCCUGGCCACCAGCCCUCAUGGGCUCGCGUUGGGUGCUGGUGGCACACUCACACAUCCCCGUAGCUGGGACUGAGAUUUCUCCUUUCAUACAUUAUUCACAGCUUGCAGCAAUGAGUGCUUCCGCAGUCUUUUAACCUUAUCCAAAUGUAACCUCGCAUUCACAAUUAUACAUAACUUGGAAGAAGCAUGCUGUACCAUAAAAAGUUGCCUUCUGGGGAAUUUGUUGUUGUUGGGCUUGAGCUUAAACUAAAAUGGCUUAGACGGAAAAUUGGUGAACAACAACAUUUCUCCACUUUCUUUUGCAUAACAGCUGGGAGGAAUCGGUUCAUGCUACAAGCCCGGGGUGUGCCGGCCAGCUGGCAGGAGUGCUCCAGAGCCAGGGUGCCAGAUCCCAAACAGCUGCAUCACUGCUCAUCCAUCUGUAGCACACACCAUAUGCCAAACCCCAAACCUGGAUGCCCACAUGAUUUAGAAUUGGUGCAAAAUAGUAAGGGAGCAGUAUUCUUGAUCGACUUCAGGAAACCGUUUCUCAGAUGGCAAGGCUCCAGUGGCCAUGGGAAGAUGGAAUGGCACUCUGUGGUCACUCAGAGAUGGCAGCGCUGACCUCUGAUGCAGAUUCCAGGCCAUGUUUGGAGCUGGGCAUGCUGUUAUUUGAUACAUCUCUCAUCAGGUAAGUCCCCUUUUUGGAAUCAUUUCAGAGUAAGUCCCCUGCUCCCCCUGCCCCUGCCCCACAAAGAAUUUGUUGUUGCUUCCUCUGAGCUCUCAUAAGCCUCAGGGCAAGCUGCUAUUAUAGCAAUUAUAAUAUCCUAUUGUGCUGAUGCAUCUGUUUGUCUCCCUUCUUCAAAAAAAAGCUACUCCGCCUUGAGAUUAGGAGAACGUGUUAUUGCAUUGCUUGUCUUUAGUCUCUAGUACAUUUUUAGCAUCGAAUUAAUAGCCAAUGAAAGUUUAUUGAACUGAAAUGAUCUGAGAAAUUGUCUUAGUUUGGGUUCAUUUAUAAAAGGAACCUGAGAUAAAGUCUCGAGUGCCUAUGGUUUAUUUGGAAGAUGAUACCAAAAGUGAGGGCUUGAGAAAGUGAUGUGAAAAUGGUAAAAACUCAGUAAGGGGUGGAUUGAGCUGGUAUCACCUUGAGCAAGUGAAGUUCAUUCCCUGUGAGAACCGCCUGAAAACCCGCAUAGCAUGUAACUCAUAAUUCCCCUCCACCUAAAGAGAGGCUGGGGCAUUUCUCGAUCCAUCCCUCUACCCAUCUAUAGUAAUGGUUGGCCUGGGAACAAUCCCCAUUAUUGUCUGGCUACCCGGACUGCAUGAGCUCCCAAGACUUUGGAGAUAGCAAGAGACAAAAACGCUGAUAGUCACACAGGACUGCCUGAGAUCAAAGCUAUCAGCUUUGAUAUCACUUGAGGACCUGCCUAUCCCAGCUGCAGAUAAAGACUGAGGUGGGCUGUGGGUGGGGUAAAAUAGUAUCUACUUAAUCCCCAGGCAGUAUUUAUUGAACGAUUUGACUGAGGAACGAUUGACUGAGGAAUGAAUGAGAAGUCUUGUGAAGGUUGAGUGGAUGGACAAAUCAUGUCUGAUUAACAAACGUGCACAUAGAGGGCUAGAUUUCUUUCACUCCAGCUGAUAGGUGACUUCUUUAGGGGUCAUAGCAUAAGAAAACGCAGACCUACCAAGCCAGUUUGCAUCUGCAUAUGCAUGCAUCGAAGAAGUAGGGAGAUCAACAGGUUAUCUUUCUUGCUGCCUGGAGGAGUAAAGAGGGGCAUACUUGCACGUCUUUGUAUGUUUAUGGGUGUGUGUCUGUUUAGUGUUCACAUUUAUAACCCUCAGACUUCUGGUGCCUCAUGUUAAGCUGUAGAAGUAAUUUUUAAAAACCUGUAUUAGGCAACCUACAGAAUGGGAGAACAUUUUUGCCAUGUACCUAUCUGACAA